rnacentral:rRNA from 1 species
UACGGAGGGUGCAAGCGUUAUCCGGAUUCAUUGGGUUUAAAGGGUGCGUAGGCGGGGCGAUAAGUCAGUGGUGAAAUCCUGCAGCCUAACUGUAGAACUGCCAUUGAUACUGUCGUCCUUGAAUGCGCUCGACGUGGGCGGAAUGUCGCCGUGUAGCGGUGAAAUGCUUAGAUAUGGCACAGAACACCGAUAGUGAAGACAGCUCACGAGGGCGUUAUUGACGCUGAGGCACGAAAGCGUGGGGAUCGAACAGG